rfam:Bacillus sp. FJAT-27264 scaffold1, whole genome shotgun sequence.
GAGGCUGUAUCGACCAGGUCGAAUGGUGCUCCUUAGUAAUUGCAGUAUUUAAAUAGCUCUUCACGCGAAGCCAUGGAGGUGAACUCGUUGGAUUUUGCUCUGAUCCGCAAGGACCGAGACAAAAGA